CCCAGACUCCUACGGGAGGCAGCAGUGGGGGAUAUUGCACAAUGGGGGGAACCCUGAUGCAGCGACGCCGCGUGGGUGAAGGAGCGUUUCGGCGCGUAAAGCCCUAUCGGCAGGGAAGAAGGAGGACGGUACCUGACUAAGAAGCCCCGGCUAACUACGUGCCAGCAGCCGCGGUAAUACGUAGGGGGCAAGCGUUAUCCGGAUUUACUGGGUGUAAAGGGGGCGCAGACGGCAGCGCAAGCCAGGAGUGAAAGCCCGGGGCCCAACCCCGGGACUGCUCUUGGAACUGCGCGGCUGGAGUGCAGGAGGGGCAGGCGGAAUUCCUGGUGUAGCUGUGAAAUGCGUAGAUAUCAGGAGGAACACCGGUGGCGAAGGCGGCCUGCUGGACUGCGACUGACGUUGAGGCCCGAAAGCGUGGGGAGCAAACAGGAUUAGAUACCCGGGUA
rnacentral:rRNA from 1 species